rnacentral:rRNA from 1 species
GACAGAGGGUGCAAACGUUGUUCGGAAUUACUGGGCGUAAAGCGCGUGUAGGCGGCCAUGCAAGUCGGAUGUGAAAGCCCUCGGCUCAACCGGGGAAGUGCACUCGAAACUGCAAGGCUAGAGUCCCGGAGAGGAUCGUGGAAUUCUCGGUGUAGAGGUGAAAUUCGUAGAUAUCGAGAGGAACACCGGUGGCGAAGGCGGCGAUCUGGACGAUGACUGACGCUGAGACGCGAAAGCGUGGGGAGCAAACAGG